AUCCAGCUGAAGAGUCCCAAACAAGACGAAACGCGCGUCCUGGAU
rnacentral:hammerhead_ribozyme from 1 species